UACGGAGGGGGCUAGCGUUGUUCGGAAUUACUGGGCGUAAAGCGCACGUAGGCGGCUUCUUAAGUCAGGGGUGAAAUCCUGGAGCUCAACUCCAGAACUGCCUUUGAUACUGAGGAGCUUGAGUCCGGGAGAGGUGAGUGGAACUGCGAGUGUAGAGGUGAAAUUCGUAGAUAUUCGCAAGAACACCAGUGGCGAAGGCGGCUCACUGGCCCGGUACUGACGCUGAGGUGCGAAAGCGUGGGGAGCAAACAGG
rnacentral:rRNA from 1 species